AUUGCACGCUUGCGGCAGGCCUAACACAUGCCAGUCGAGCGCGCGGCGGACGGGGGAGUAAGGUAUGGGGAUCUGCCCGAUAGCGGGGGAUAACUACUGGAAACGGUGGUUAAUACCGCAUACUAUCGGAUGAACCCAUCUGGGAUUAGAUAGUAGGUGGGGUAAAGGCUCACCUAGGCGACGAUGGCUAGCGGGUAUGAGAGGAGGAUCAGCCACACUGGGACUGAGACACGGCCCAGACUCCUACGGGAGGCAGCAGUGGGGAAUAUUGCACAAUGGGCGCAAGCCUGAUGCAGCCAUGCCGCGUGUAUGAAGAAGGCCUUAGGGUGGUAAAGUACUGUCAGCGGGGAGGCGUUACCCGCAGAAGAAGCACCGGCUAACUCCGUGCCAGCAGCCGCGGUAAUAC
rnacentral:rRNA from 1 species